UCUUAAUUUGUGUGAAAUAGCUAAAAAGUCUAUCUUCGUGGAACGGAAGGAGUAUAUUAUAUUAACUAUUAGGUUAAGAUCUACGCCUUGCGCGAGAUGAACAUUAUAUAUAAAAAUAAUCUAAGGAGGGGUUAUUGGAAUCAAAAUUCAGAAGGAGUUAAGUGAUUUUAAAAGUUGACAGAUUCUUAGAAGUUGAGUAGAGUUAACAAAUAUUCUCCAAAGUUCUAUCAAAUACUUUGUAUUGACUUUUGUAGAUUUUAUUGAUUUUUAAGGAUUUGCAUAAUAUAUUAUUUUCAAAAUAUUUCUUCUUAUAAGGCAAUGUAUAAUAAUCUCUUCGGAACAUUUCCAAAAACAAAAUAUGGAGGUAAACCAUAUAUAUAAACAUCACGUAAUUGACACAAUGAUACCCAUAUCUUCUUCUCUUCUCCUUCUCCUUUUCUCCUUCUCCUUCUCUAGUCCAACUACAUACAAGUAUUACUUCUUCUGACCAUUAGUUAGUUCUUGAAUAAGAUUACAAUGGAAGAUAAGGAAAAAGGUAAAUAUAAUUCCUGGACUCAGGAUGAAACAAAAGUAUUGAUUGAAUUACUUGUGGAGGGAAUUAAACGUGGAUGGCGUGAUUUUGAAACACCAUUCUUGUUAUCAAUGUGAGUUUGGUUUCUUCAUCAUUAUUGAAUCAAAAGGUUGUUUUAUCAAAUAAGAAACUAUAAAAAUAUAAUGAAUUACAGAUCAUGUGUGUUUAGUUGAUUCACCAUUAUUGAGUUUGGUUUGAUGUGUUCACGUGAGUUUAGUUGCAAUAUGUGCAUGUUUUUCUUAUUACACAGAUUUCAAAAAUCUUAUGUGAAUAGAUGAUAUUUUCAAAGUCUAGAUUUAUGAAUAAAAGCAUAAGAAAUUCACCUCACAAUAACAAUAGAAUUCAAUAGAAUGAUAAAAUCCAUAAUUACUAAACUUUAUGAAUAACAAAGGAUUUGAAUGGAAUUUAAAAAUCUUUAAACCAAUAACAAUGGAUUUUAAUAAGACUUUUUAAAUCUGUAAACCAAUAACAAUGGAUUCUCAAAAUUUUAUAAUUCCUUUAGAAUUCUUAAACCAAUAAUCCCCCACUAAACUAUUAAACGGAGUACAAAUAAGAAUUGACCCCAUUUUUUUUCAAUAGAAUGCCACUGCCUUAGAUACCGUCGUUUAGGGCGGAGAUUGAAGAUUAUUCACUUAGCGGAGAUUGAGGAUUAUUCACUUACCAAACUUAACUUCUACUGGUCAAAUAAUUUUAUCAUUAAAGUUCCCUUUGUUUUAUUGUUUUAGGAAAACAGUGAAGAUCUUAUUCGAAUCCUCCAUCUCCGCUAUCUUGCUUUUGCUCUAGGUCAUACUUUCAUAGCGUGUUUGCUUAUCGGAGAACCUGCAGAGAGAAGCUUGGUAAGAACUGAAAUCAGAUUUCAUCAGGACUUCUACAGUUUUCUUCAGUCCAUGAGCAAUUAUGGAACGCGAGUUUCUCGGGAGUGAAGGAUGAUCCAGACAAGAGCGAAUUGAUCUGAUAGCCAUGUGGUUUUCUUUCUUAAAAUCCAAGGAUCGGUUCCCUUUGGGCGAACUCAGGUUUAACUUUUUGUUUAAUCGCGUCGAUCUCGCAACAUGUUCUAUAUACGAUGUAUCUAUGUUUUGCAUAACUCCACUUCUGACAUUAUAUACGGUGUCCUUGAAUGUGAAUCAAUCAAUUCUUUUCGGAAGUAAAAUUGAAAGGUUGCAGUUAUUUUGUUUGGGUUUGGGUUUCUGGAAAGUUGAUUCUUUAAUGGAUUUCUGCCAUAGAAAACUAUUUAGCUUCAUCUUACCAAGUUAUAGUUAGGGGUUAACUUUAUAGAAAUUGUGCAGGUCAAGUGUCCUAUCUUUUCCAUUGGAGAAUGACUAUGUCUUUGUUGAUUUUAGCACCUGAUAAAGCCUAAGUGGUUUCUUUGUAGGCAGACCUGAGAAAAAGUCAGGUAGUGAACGAGGCCUGUUAGGUUAGUGGCAAGUGUCUUUACAUCUCAAUAAACUUUGUCUUGGCAUUAUUGUUUGCUUUUUUGUUAAGCUUUGAUCUUUGAGCAAUCAUAUAAUCUGCUGAAAUUUUCUGAUAUGCAUCUUGACUUGGUUUACUAAACGCCUGCAGCACCUAAGACGACCUUAUGUUCUCUAGAGUGCCAGAAAAUAUAAGGGAAAAAUUUACCUCUUAUAUGUAACAAGGUAGUUAUUAAGCCCCACAAAAUUGUGAGGAAGCUUGCAAGAGUGCAACACCUAUAUUUACAGCUGGCGGGGAAGUUUAGGAGGGGAGAUGACAAGGUGAGAUAAUAAUAUUCAAUAAUUUACAUCACACAAUCAUCUAGAUUGCUUGAAGUUAAGUGAUGUGAGUGUUUUUGUCCAGACUCUUUUUUCUUCUAAUUUGGUUCUUUGUCUUAUGGUCUACUUACAAUUUGACUCGCACACUGCUUUACAAUUUGUGAGCUUCCAGACUAAUCAUGAAGCUAGACUCAGUUUAUUUUCUUAACAUUAAUUGGAAAAAAUUGACAUUGUUGUCAUUGCAGUCUAAAAUCAUUAUGCGCAUGCCCACCUCUAAUCAAAUGUAAAUGAAUUGUGAAGUUCUCUUUGACAAGUGCUAGGAAAUGCCAGAGGUGCAGUAGCAGUGGUGGUUAAUAUUCAAGAAUCAUGUCUCGGUGACUGGAAUGUUAGAUUACUUUCUCACCGUCUGCGGAGUUAUCCGCUACAGAGAAGCCAAGAAACAAAGCACGUCAAUGAUAAAUAAAAAUUUACAUUGUUUUAUUUGUUAGCUCCUCAGGUAAACGCAAAGCAAUUUUUUUUGCUGUGAACAAAAACCCUUACACAGAAAAAGAUUGUAAAGCAACACCGAAGGAUUAGAGAACCAAACGCGAUCAGUUACAUUACUUCUCAAAUAAGUGUUUAUUCCUUCUAUU